AAAGCAAACGAAACAGAGAAGAACAGGGGAGAAAGAAAGGAAAGAAGAAAGAAAAGGGGAAAUAAGGUUUAUGAAGCUUGGAGUUAAUUGGUAAGCUUAAUCAAGUCCUUUUCUCAUAAUUUUGAUAUUUUAGAAGUCUUAAAACAAGUUUUUGAUGAAAUUAAGUUGUUAGUUUGGAAGUUCUUAGGUUUUUAAACAAAGUUCAUGUUGAAGAAAAUGAUGAAAUAGGGGUUUAAUUGAACGAAAUUCAAGUUAGAAUAGAUAUAAGGAUUGAAUUGCAAAGUAAGCUAUAAGUUUUGUGUUUUAGGGACUAGAUUGAGGAAAAUUCGGAAUUAAGAAAAUAUGUUGAAAAUUUAAUAGUUAAAUUUGAGUUUAAAUGAAAUUUGAAUAGGAAUAAGGUGUGAAUUGGUGUUAUAAAUUUGGUUAUUAACAUUUUUCAUCAAAACAGUUUUGGGAAGUAGCAAUGGUCUGACUUUGAAAAUUCACUAAAAAUUUUAUAAAUUGAACUAGAGGAUGAACGAAAUAUGGAAUUAAAACUUAUUGAGUCUAGUUUCUUAUAGUAGAAACAGUGUAAGCAAUUAAUUGAUGAAUCAAGAGAUAUUUGAAAUUUUGUAAUACUGGUUCGGGGUGAUUUCGAGAUGCCCUGUUUUAACUUUGGAAAAUCAUUAAAAAUUGUACAAAAAUUAUUAUGGAGUGUAAUUUAUAUAUGUGAACUCCUUAAUGAAUCUAGUUUCAAAAUAAAUAAACAAGAACCUUAUUCGAGUUCUGUACAAUGAGAUAAUUUAGUUUUAGUAGAGAGAGGUCAGAACUGUCAAAUGAAAUAACAGGGGAGUAUUUAACGAAUAAACUGUAUUAAAUGGCUAGACCAAAAAUUCUGGAAAUUUUAUGAUUAGAAGAUAUAUGAGUCUAGUUUUAAGAAAAAUUUACGGAUAUUAAUUUGGAGUUUCGUAGCUCAAGAUAUAAAUAAUUUAGUAACAAUGACUCAAGUAGACAGCUUAAUGGUGAAAUUAUAUAUAUACAUUAAAAAUGGUUAAAUUUGCAUGUUUAGGCUCAUGAAUUAAAUUGAAUCAUGUUGUAUUGAUGAUUAUAAAUUAUUAUUUUCGUAGCCAACAAAGAAUCUGAAGCAUCAGCAUCGAAAGGAAAGGAGAAAGUCAUCGAGUACUAAAACGGGAGAAUUACGGUGUGUAUUACUAUAAUUCGAAUUUUAAUUAUUAUUGAUUGCUGAAUUUUUUUUAUUGUUAUGUAUGGUAAGUAAGACUUGAGGUAAGUAUGUGAAAUUGAUAUGAAUAUUGAGUGAAAAUGAAAGUGAUGCAAAUUGAAUCAAAUUGAAUUGAAUAAGUGAAUUAUGGAAGAUGUAAUUAUUUGAAAAGCGUAUUGAUUGAAAAAUGAUUGGUGAUUUGAAUUGUGAAUUGAAAGUGAUAUAGGAUUGAGAAAGUGAAUUGAAUACCCUAUUAACUAGUCGGGCUGAGUCGGAUAUAGUUGGCAUGCCAUAGGAUUGGAAGUGUUCAGGGAUACUUCGACCUCGAGUCGAUGAGACACUGGGUGUCACUAUAUUUCUUCGGAUAGAUUCGAUGAGGUACUGGGUACCAACUUUACUUCGGCUAGGCCGAUGAGACACUGGGUGUCAACUAUUACUUCGAACUAUCCGAUGAGGCACUGGGUGCCAUAUUGGUGUGUUUGGUUGGAUCCGUGUAUCCGCCAAAGUCCGAGUUACGUUAAUAGGGUGAAAAAUUGAAAUGUGAAUUUGAGGCAUUGAAACGAGAAAAAUAAAUUGAAUUACGAAUUGAAAUUGGAAUUGUGAUAAUAAGAGAAAAGUAUGAAAUGUAUAUUCAUAAGUGAUAUAAAUUUAAGUUUGAGAAAAUACAUUGAUUUAUGAAUUAGUACAUAUGACAUUAAUUGUUAGGUAUUUUAAUAUUUAUGUUUUUACUAUUGUUGAUACAAUUUGAAUUAUGGUAAUACCACUGAGUAUAUCCAUACUCAGCGUACGGUUGUUUCCGUGCGCAGGUUAGUAGAAGUCAAGUGUCCCGGUUCAGCAUCCAGAACAUUCCCGACUCCAACACAAAUUUGGUGAUGUAUAUUUUUCUUUUGGGUAAAGGUGGCAUGUACAUAGGUGUUAUAUAGUCACUUGAAUAUGCAUAUUACUUUGGGUAGUGAAGGUUGAAUUAUAAGAUUUAGAUGGUUAAAUGAAAUGGUAAGAAAAGUAUAUGA
rnacentral:lncRNA from 1 species